rnacentral:rRNA from 1 species
ACUACGGGAGGCAGCAGUGGGGAAUAUUGCACAAUGGGGGAAACCCUGAUGCAGCGACGCCGCGUGAGUGAAGAAGUAUUUCGGUAUGUAAAGCUCUAUCAGCAGGAACGAGACAAGACGGUACCUGACUAAGAAGCCCCGGCUAACUACGUGCCAGCAGCCGCGGUAAUACGUAGGGGGCAAGCGUUAUCCGGAAUCACUGGGUGUAAAGGGAGCGUAGACGGCUGUGCAAGCCUGAAGUGAAAGGCGGGGGCCCAACCCCUGGACUGCUCUGGAAACUGGACGGCUGGAGUGCAGGAGAGGUAAGUGGAAUGCCUAGUGUAGCGGUGAAAUGCAUAGAUAUUAGGAGGAACACCAGUGGCGAAGGCGGCUUACUGGACUGUAACUGACGUUGAGGCUCGAAAGCGUGGGGAGCAAACAGGAUUAGAUACCCUUGUAGUC